CAGGAACCCAGUAACCCGUGGCCGCUGGCAGCUACAGGUGGUGCCUGACAAGAGGCCUGAAAGCAGAAAGGACGACUGGGGGUACACUGUCUUGGUGGGGCUCCAUGGAAAACAGAAGAAGAUGUAUCUUGCAUGAAUGCUGCAGGAGCACACUAGCUGCCAGAAUGAUUCCUGUGACAUUCUGACCCAUAGGCUUGCUGAGUGCUCUGACGAUGGUGACAGGAAAGCUGUAUUGGUUUCCUCCAAGACGCCAUUACCUGCUGAGAGGCUGAACCUGUUCUCCUGACACUAUCCAGACAAUGCAAGGAGAUCCUGGCAUGGUGGGGGGAUGGGUUCCCCCCUUUCUAAGCUCAGACUCAUAAGUAAACAUUGAGCCUUGAUCAGAG
rnacentral:lncRNA from 1 species